AUUGAACGCUGGCGGCAGGCCUAACACAUGCAAGUCGAGCGAGCGGCGGACGGGUGAGUAAUGUAUGGGGACUGCCCGAUAGAGGGGGAUAACUACUGGAAACGGUGGCUAAUACCGCAUACUAUCGGAUAACACCUAUGGGAUUAGCUAGUAGGUGGGGUAAAGGCUCACCUAGGCGACGAUCUCUACCUGGUCGGAGAGGAGGAUCAGCCACACUGGGACUUAUACACGGCCCAGACUCCUACGGAGGCAGCAGUGGGAAAUAGUGAACAAUGGGCGCAUGCCUGAUGCAGCCAGGCCGCGUGUAUGAAGAAGGCCUUAGGGUUGUAAAGUACUUUCAGCGGGGAGGCGUUACCCGCAGAAGAAGCACCGGCUAACUCCGUGCCAGCAGCCGCGGUAAUUC
rnacentral:rRNA from 1 species